rnacentral:sRNA from 1 species
CACAAAUGAAUAGUUAUGAAGUUAUCUUCGUUUUUUUCCUUGCAGCUCCAAAAUAAAGAGGUUUUCAGAGAGAGAGAAAGAGAGAAAGAUCUAACUAUUUGAAUAAUAUGAAGGAGCAUCUAUGAAAUGAUAGACAUGCUAGGUACUGCUCUGUAGUGGUUAGCAUAGUUGCUGCCGCCUUUCUGCGAUAGUCUAGUGUGAUAUUUCAUUGGGUAAUGAUGGAUACCUGGUGCCAUGGAAGAGAAAAGUGGGACAUAUAUUCCAGACUUUGGAAAUCCAUGUAGCAUUGCUGUCAGCUAAACUAAGACCUGAAGUUUAAAUAGAAAUGAGCCAGAUGAGGGCAAGAGUGGAAGAGGUGGGGAUAAAGCAAGGGUGGUCCAAGAGGAGGAAGUAACCCACACACAGGCUUGAAGGCAAAAGGUGACAGAACCUUCUCAAGACAGUAAGUAUAGAGUGAUGGUGCACAGUGGAAGAGACGGUAUAAUUAGGCAGGAUAUUGUAAGCCUUGAAAAGAAUUAGGCAGGAUAUUGUAAGCCCUGAUUAGAUUCUAUCCUAAGGGCAACAGAAGAUCACUGAUGGUGUUUUAAAUAGAUAGACUAGAUUAUUAGAUUUGCAGUUUAGAAGUUCCCUUUUUUUGUAAUUAUUGGACAGUGUAGAGACCGGAUGAUGAGAGAUGAGUUAGGAAGUUGUGACAGCUCUCUAUACUUACUGCUAAUGUAGAGGAUUAUUUAUUUUCAUUUCAUUACCAUUCGUGUAAGGGGUGUGUGUGUGUGCAUGUGUGUGUGUAUAGCUAGUUUCUCUAUAGAAAUUAUAUGGAAGAGUAAGAAGUCUUCACUUUAAAAUUCAUGUUCUUUAAUGACAGUAUUUUCUGAAUAUAAGAGACACUCACCCUCAUUUGUUUUGGCCAGGGUGUUGGAACUCGCCAUAAGGCAUUGAUCAGAAUUAUGGUUUCCCGUUCUGAAAUUGACAUGAAUGAUAUCAAAGCAUUCUAUCAGAAGAUGUAUGGUAUCUCCCUUUGCCAAGCCAUCCUGGAUGAAACCAAAGGAGAUUAUGAAAAAAUCCUGGUGGCUCUUUGUGGAGGAAACUAAACAUUACCUUGAUGGUCUCAAGCUAUGAUCAGAAGACUUUAAUUAUAUAUUUUCAUCCUAUAAGCUUAAAUAGGAAAGUUUCUUCAACAGGAUUACAGUGUAGCUACCUACAUGCUGAAAAAUAUAGCCUUUAAAUCAUUUUUAUAUUAUAACUCUGUAUAAUAGAGAUAAGUUCAUUUUUUAAAAAUGUUUGCCCCAAACCAUAAAACCCUAUACAAGUUGUUCUAGUAACAAUACAUGAGAAAGAUGUCUAUGUAGCUGAAAAUAAAAUGACGUCACAAGACAU